rnacentral:rRNA from 1 species
UCGGGUUGUAAAGCACUUUUGUUCGGGAAGAAAACUUCUGGGUUAAUACCCUGGGAGGAUGACGGUACCGGAAGAAUAAGCACCGGCUAACUACGUGCCAGCAGCGCGGUAAUCGUAGGGUGCGAGCGUUAAUCGGAAUUACUGGGCGUAAAGCGUGCGCAGGCGGUUCGUUAAGACAGAUGUGAAAUCCCCGGGCUUAACCUGGGAACUGCAUUUGUGACUGGCGAGCUAGAGUAUGGCAGAGGGGGGUAGAAUUCCACGUGUAGCAGUGAAAUGCGUAGAGAUGUGGAGGAAUACCGAUGGCGAAGGCAGCCCCCUGGGCCAAUACUGACGCUCAUGCACGAAAGCGUGGGGAGCAAACAGGAUUAGAUACCCUGGUAGUCCACGCCCUAAACGAUGUCAACUAGUUGUUGGGUCUUCAUUGACUUAGUAACGUAGCUAACGCGUGAAGUUGACCGCCUGGGGAGUACGGUCGCAAGAUUAAAACUCAAAGGAAUUGACGGGGACCCGCACAAGCGGUGGAUGAUGUGGAUUAAUUCGAUGCAACGCGAAAAACCUUACCUACCCUUGACAUGUACGGAACCUGGCUG